UUUUUUUUCUGCUCAAAGAUACAUGUGUGGCAUAUCAAACUAAAGCCCUCAUCAUUCUAAAUCAAAUGGUAUGCCCGAAAAAUCGCCGGACGAUCUGAAUAUUACGUACUGACACACCAUGAAACUAUGGGGGAGGGGUGGAAAAAAAGAAGAAAAAAGCAAACAGCGAUUUGUUAAGCAUACCAUCUGAUUUAGAAUAAUGAGAGCUUUAGUUUGAUAUGCCACACAUGUAUCUUGAAGCCAAAAAAAUCCCGACCUUAAAAAAAGCGGAAUUUUUUUAAGUAAAAAUAUAAAAUUAAUAGUUCAAAGAAUGUAGAAUUUUACGCAAAAUUCAAGUAUGAAAUAAUAU
rnacentral:lncRNA from 1 species